GGUAGCCGUAGAUCACCCAGGGAUCGAGGGUGGGCUGCACCAGGCGAACGGUUUGCUGGGUGGCAUCGUACAACCCGCCCCAGGUGGUGGCUUUGGCGACGAGGAGCAGCGCCCCCGCCCCCAAAAACAGUAGGUGAUGACCGAGAAUCAUUCCUAAUUGGGCCGGAUUUUCCCA
rnacentral:antisense_RNA from 1 species